rnacentral:rRNA from 1 species
UAUUGGUCAAUGGGCGGGAGCCUGAACCAGCCAAGUCGCGUGAGGGAAGACGGUCCUACGGCUUGUAAACCUCUUUUGCCGGGGAGCAACGGGGUCCUUGCGAGGGCCCAAUGCGAGUACCCGGAGAAAAAGCAUCGGCUAACGUCGCUCCAGCCGCCGCGGUAAUACGGAGGAUGCGAGCGUUAUCCGGAUUUAUUGGGUUUAAAGGGUGCGUAGGCGGGCUUUUAAGUCAGCGGUAAAAAUUCGGGGCUCAACCCCGUCCGGCCGUUGAAACUGGGGGCCUUGAGUGGGCGAGAAGAAGGCGGAAUGCGUGGUGUAGCGGUGAAAUGCAUAGAUAUCACGCAGAACCCCGAUUGCGAAGGCAGCCUUCCGGCGCCCUACUGACGCUGAGGCACGAAAGUGCGGGGAUCGAACAGG